rnacentral:rRNA from 1 species
UACGUAGGGUGCGAGCGUUAAUCGGAAUUACUGGGCGUAAAGAGUGCGUAGGCGGUUCGUUAUGUCUGCUGUGAAAGCCCCGGGCUUAACCCCGGGAAGUGGCAGUGGAAACUGGCGGGCUUGAGUGUGGCAGAGGGGGGUGGGAAUUCCGCGUGUAGCAGUGAAAUGCGUAGAGAUGCGGAGGAACACCGAUGGCGAAGGCAGCCCCCUGGGCUAACACUGACGCUGAGGCACGAAAGCGUGGGGAGCAAACAGG